rnacentral:rRNA from 1 species
UCARAGAWGUGNCGGGCGGUGUGUACAUGGNYCCCGGAACGUAUUCACCGCGGACAUGCUGAUCCGCGAUUACUAGCGAUUCCGGCUUCAUGCAGGCGAGUUGCARCCUGCAAUCCGAACUGAGAAUGGCUUUAUGGGAUUCGCUUACCUUCGCAGGUUUGCAGCCCUUUGUACCAUCCAUUGUAGCACGUGUGUAGCCCAGGUCAUAAGGGGCAUGAUGAUUUGACGUCAUCCCCACCUUCCUCCGGUUUGUCACCGGCAGUCACCUUAGAGUGCCCAACUGAAUGCUGGCAACUAAGAUCAAGGGUUGCGCUCGUUGCGGGACUUAACCCAACAUCUCACGACACGAGCUGACGACAACCAUGCACCACCUGUCACUCUGUCCCCCGAAGGGGAAAGCCCUAUCUCUAGGGUUGUCAGAGGAUGUCAAGACCUGGUAAGGUUCUUCGCGUUGCUUCNAAUUAAACCACAUGCUCCACCGCUUGUGCGGGCCCCCGUCAAUUCCUUUGAGUUUCAGCCUUGCGGCCGUACUCCCMARGGCGGAGUGCUUAAUGCGUUAGCUGCAGCACUAAAGGGGCGGAAACCCUCUAACACUUAGCACUCAUCGUUUACGGCGUGGACUACCAGGGUAUCUAAUCCUGUUUGCUCCCCACGCUUUCGCGCCUCAGUGUCAGUUACAGACCAGAAAGUCGCCUUCGCCACUGGUGUUCCUCCAAAUCUCUACGCAUUUCACCGCUACACUUGGAAUUCCACUUUCCUCUUCUGCACUCAAGUUCCCCAGUUUCCAAUGACCCUCCACGGUUGAGCCGUGGGCUUUCACAUCAGACUUAAGGAACCACCUGCGCGCGCUUUACGCCCAAUAAUUCCGGACAACGCUUGCCACCUACGUAUUACCGCGGCUGCUGGCACGUAGUUAGCCGUGGCUUUCUGGUUAGGUACCGUCAAGGUACCAGCAGUUACUCUGGUACUUGUUCUUCCCUAACAACAGAACUUUACGACCCGAAGGCCUUCUUCGUUCACGCGGCGUUGCUCCGUCAGACUUUCGUCCAUUGCGGAAGAUUCCCUACUGCUGCCUCCCGUAGGAGUCUGGGCCGUGUCUCAGUCCCAGUGUGGCCGAUCACCCUCUCAGGUCGGCUACGCAUCGUCGCCUUGGUGAGCCAUUACCUCACCAACUAGCUAAUGCGCCGCGGGCCCAUCUAUAAGUGACAGCGUAAACCGUCUUUCCAUCUUCUCUCAUGCGAGAAAAGAACGUAUCCGGUAUUAGCUCCGGUUUCCYCGAAGUUAUCCCAGUCGGAAAGGCAGGUUGCCCACGUGUUACUCU